rnacentral:rRNA from 1 species
AUUGAACGCUGGCGGCAGGCUUAACACAUGCAAGUCGAACGAGUGGCGGACGGGUGAGUAAUGCUUGGGAAUCUGGCUUAUGGAGGGUGAUAACGACGGGAAACUGUCGCUAAUACCGCGUACCCUAGGAUGAGCCCAAGUGGGAUUAGGUAGUGGGUGGGGUAAUGUCCUACCAGGCAGACGAUCUCUAGCUGUUCUGAGAGGGUGACCAGCCAAACUGGGACUGAGACACGGCCCGGACUCCUACGGGAGGCAGCAGUGGGGAAUAUUGCGCAAUGGGGGCAACCCUGACGGAGCAACGCCGCGUGAGUGAGGACGACCUUCGGGUUGUAAAGCUCUGUUAAUCGGGACGCGGUACCGGAAUAGAAAGCCACGGCUAACUACGUGCCAGCAGCCGCGGUAAUAC